UACGAAGGGAGCUAGCGUUGUUCGGAAUCACUGGGCGUAAAGGGUGCGUAGGCGGGUCUUUAAGUCAGGGGUGAAAUCCUGGAGCUCAACUCCAGAACUGCCUUUGAUACUGAAGAUCUUGAGUUCGGGAGAGGUGAGUGGAACUGCGAGUGUAGAGGUGAAAUUCGUAGAUAUUCGCAAGAACACCAGUGGCGAAGGCGGCUCACUGGCCCGAUACUGACGCUGAGGCACGAAAGCGUGGGGAGCAAACAGGG
rnacentral:rRNA from 1 species